rnacentral:rRNA from 1 species
CCUCUUUCAGCAGGGACGAAGCGCAAGUGACGGUACCUGCAGAAGAAGCACCGGCCAACUACGUGCCAGCAGCCGCGGUAAUACGUAGGGUGCGAGCGUUGUCCGGAAUUACUGGGCGUAAAGAGCUCGUAGGCGGUUUGUCGCGUCGUCUGUGAAAUCCCGCAGCUCAACUGCGGGCUUGCAGGCGAUACGGGCAGACUCGAGUACUGCAGGGGAGACUGGAAUUCCUGGUGUAGCGGUGAAAUGCGCAGAUAUCAGGAGGAACACCGGUGGCGAAGGCGGGUCUCUGGGCAGUAACUGACGCUGAGGAGCGAAAGCGUGGGUAGCGAACAGGAUUAGAUACCCUGGUAGUCCACGCCGUAAACGGUGGGCGCUAGGUGUGGGUUUCCUUCCACGGGAUCCGUGCCGUAGCCAACGCAUUAAGCGCCCCGCCUGGGGAGUACGGCCGCAAGGCUAAAACUCAAAGGAAUUGACGGGGGCCCGCACAAGCGGCGGAGCAUGUGGAUUAAUUCGAUGCAACGCGAAGAACCUUACCUGGGUUUGACAUGUACCGGACGACCGCAGAGAUGUGGUUUCCCUUGUGGCCGGUAGACAGGUGGUGCAUGGCUGUCGUCAGCUCG